rnacentral:rRNA from 1 species
UACGUAGGUGGCAAGCGUUGUCCGGAAUUAUUGGGCGUAAAGCGCGCGCAGGUGGUCCUUUAAGUCUGAUGUGAAAGCCCACGGCUCAACCGUGGAGGGUCAUUGGAAACUGGGGGACUUGAGUGCGGAAGAGGAAAGUGGAAUUCCAAGUGUAGCGGUGAAAUGCGCAGAGAUUUGGAGGAACACCAGUGGCGAAGGCGGCUUUCUGGUCUGUAACUGACGCUGAGGAGCGAAAGCGUGGGGAGCGAACACG